AACUGUUGUUUUUAGUCUCCUGGAGCAGCCGCGCCUUCCCACAGCACUCAGACUUGAGGAAGUUUAAGAAGCUGAGACCAGAGAGGGCGACGUGCACCUUGGUGACGAAGCACUCUAGAGGCUGCCGCCACAAUUAAAAAGUGACCAGUCACCAACAACUCAUCUUAAGUACAGGAAGAAUGCCAGCAGCUGAAUGAAAUUCUUGCUUUCCCUGACCUGGAAGGAGAGAACAAGGGCCUUCCUGAGGCAGGACAAGGACCCAGAACUACCCAGAAUGCAGCAGGGCGGCCCCGCACGACUGAGCUCUGAUCCUAACCUGCAAAGUGAAGUUUCAAUUUCCACUUCCUGAGAAGGUCAGGUGUAUAGGUGUGAACCAACUGCACGUCUAGUUCCCUUGGAGGCCAGAAAGAAGGCGGUGUCAGAUCCCCAGGAACCAUAGUUACAGAUGGUUGUGUAGUCUCCCCUCCCCCAGCCUGAAUCCUGCUUGCUCAGGGGUGGAGCUUCCCGCUCAAUCGUUCAGCCAUGCCCACUACUGGAAGCUGCCGCUUUGCUGUGCAUGGAGCCAUGCACGUGGUCACCCUGCUAUUGGACCCCAAGACUAAUUGGCGGGAAUCAGGCCCCCUUCCCCUGCUUUAUAAUUGCGUGUGGAACAGUAAAAUUGAGCUUUGAUCAGAA
ensembl:lincRNA Gm19705 predicted gene, 19705